GUGAGGAAUAUUGGACAAUGGGCGCAAGCCUGAUCCAGCCAUGCCGCGUGCAGGAAGACGCAUCUAUGGUGUGUAAACUGCUUUUGUACGGGAAGAAACACUCCCUCGUGAGGGAGCUUGACGGUACCGUAAGAAUAAGGAUCGGCUAACUCCGUGCCAGCAGCCGCGGUAAUACGGAGGAUCCAAGCGUUAUCCGGAAUAAUUGGGUUUAAAGGGUCCGUAGGCGGUUUAAUAAGUCAGUGGUGAAAGCCCAUCGCUCAACGAUGGAACGGCCAUUGAUACUGUUAGACUUGAAUUACAAGGAAGUAACUAGAAUAUGUAGUGUAGCGGUGAAAUGCUUAGAUAUUACAUGGAAUACCAAUUGCGAAGGCAGGUUACUACUUGUGGAUUGACGCUGAUGGACGAAAGCGUGGGGAGCGAACAGGAUUAGAAACCCGUGUAGUCC
rnacentral:rRNA from 1 species